rnacentral:lncRNA from 1 species
CUUUUUAUUGCAGUUAUUAGUGAAAGUUACACUUCAACCUGAAGCUAAGCAACACUAAAACCAUUUUUUUUAAAUCAAAGAUUAAAAACAAAUACAACAUAGAACCCUUCCAGUACACAGAAUGGCAGAAAAAAGAGGAGUGGUUCUGUCACAGGACAUUUUAGUGACAGUUUGGCUCAGAAAGAAUUAUGACAAUUUCUUUAACAUAAAAUAUUGUAAGUGACUGAACUGCUUAAAAAGCGGCUUCUUCAAGCUUCUCAAUCUCAACUCUAAGUUUUUUAUAGUAAAUUUUUUUUGGAGGGGUAUAAUUACCCCAAAAAGCAUUUUUGUUUAAAAAUUUUAUUUGCCUUCUGCUCACCUUAAUUACAUAUGGUCUUCAAGGAAUUAAAAUGACAACCAUAUCCAAAGACUGGCCCUCAAGUACACAGUGAAUAGGAUUCAGCACUUGGUGUUUCUAAUUAUACAGUGAUUACAUAUAUACCAUAGACUAGCUCCCACCCACCAUAUAAUCCAAUUUCCUCUUAAUAAAAUGUGGCAGUCAAGUUUAGUAUCGUUCAAGAUUUUAUAACACAUUACAAACUCAGACUCACUCCAAUAUUUUAACUGAUGUUACUGUUUAACGAAACAUUAACAAAGUCAGGCUUAUAGACAAACAUUUUGAAAUUCUGCAGUCUUUAAAUUACUAUAGUAAAUUGUUUUUACUUACGAAAAGCCAACAAAAAACAUAAGGCCAGGCCAGGUGUAAGACAGGAUAGGGAAGAUGAGGAAGGAGAUCUGAGAGUCCAUCAUUUUAUUAUGCUGAAACUUGGUAUCGGUAGAAAUAUUUGGCAAGAAUAGUCAGUGUGGAAAAGGAGGAUGGAGAAAGAGGUUACUCUGAUUUUAUGUAAUAAUUCAUUUUCAAAACGGACUGAUAUCAACCCCCCAAAAUAGUUCACAUCUGCAAUACAAAUAGGCACACACGGUUAAGAUGGUUAAAAAGUAAAAUUUAAAAGGCUAUUUGUCCAUCUGUAGGACACUUGCAGGUGGCCUCACCCUUCCCACAGGUCCUAUAUUUACAUUUUACUUUUCAGAAAAGCCCCUUUAAAAAGAGUGCUAUUUCCUCCUCCAUUACUUCGGGUUUAAAAAAAGCAGCAAUUAUCUAAAGUGGGAGCAGUUAGCAAUGUUUUAGGAGUGUGCAUUUGUGUGUAAUAUAAAUGUUCUCUAGAGUGAGUGGUCAGAUUACACUGGAAUGGUUAUAUUACAAUUUUAGUCCCCAAAACACUAAAGAAACACAUUAUUUUCUAUAUAAACUUAUGUAAUACACAGUGUUAUAAACAAUAUUUAUACACAUACACACACACACACAUACACACACACACCACUGCUUCCCACAGCCUAUGAAUGCAUCCAUAUACUAGCCCACAAGAAUGAUCUUUAUUCACAAGAUACGCUAAUACUUUUAUGGGUCCAUAACUGAAGACAAAUUUUAAAGCUACACAUUAUAGCAAAAACUAUUUAAAAGUAUUCCUGAUAUAUCCAAUGUUCUUGCUAUCUUAGCCAGCAAGAUGGUUUUUUUGUUCAUUUUCCAAGCAUAAAUCUCCCCAAUUUUCAGUACCUGUAAUUCUCAUUAUCCUAUAAAAACUAAGACAUAUACCACCCAUGUUAGCCAUGAGUUGGAAAAGCCCAAACUGCCUGCAACAAGAGGAGGUCACCGUCUUCAUAGAUAAAAAAUAGAUGUUGAAUGCAUUCAUACCCUGGGUACCUAAAAUGCAUCUUUUCCUUAAACAAAAUAAACUUAUCUGUUUUAACAACCUGUGGUGAUGUGCCCUUUAUUUUUUUCCUAGAAACAGGAGCCCCUUCCCCCAGGAAAGUGCGUAAACCUGUAGAAAUGUAAGGUUCUGCCCACAAUCCAUAAAGAUAACUGGGUCAGACACUAAUAGGUUGCCGGAUAUCACCUGCAGAUGCUCAGAACUGAAUUUAAGUGAAGAAAUGAACUUUUUACUAUAUUUUCACUUUUAUAGGUACAUGGUGAUUGGGAAGCAAGGUUCAACUCUGUGAAGUGAUAAGUGGAAAGCAUACCUUCCCUCUUAAAACCUAACCCCCUACUCCAAAAAAAGGUACCAAAAAUCUGCAAGAAACAAAGGGAUAAUUAUCUGGUUGUACAACAACCUCUGAUGCCAAUAUGUAGCAAAAAUGCCUGAAGGCAAAAGGCAAAGUUAAUUUCUGAUUAUCUGAUGGUUUCCCCAUAUUAAUCUAACUCAAAAUACAAUCACAAGUGCCAUAGCACCACUAAAAGGAGUUUGGUUUUUGAAGUUAUACCUUCCCCAAAGAUUACUAUAAAGAAAAAUUCAGCCUGUGUGCUAGAUAUCUGUUAGGGAGAAACAGAACAGGAUACACGUAUAAGUGAACACCAUACCAUGGUAAAACCUAAGUUUCUCUUACACCUGUUUAAUAGUGACCUGGUCAACGGUCAUUACUUUCACAGAGGCAAACUGGAAAUGGACCCUCAUACAACAACAUUCUCUUAUCUCAAUCUUCUGAAUAGCUUUUCUUUCCGGGACAAGCACUCUACUAACAUUAUCCUCUUCUUACAACUAUUUUGUGAGGUAGGUGAGGGCAGGUACUAUCACUAUCAUUUUACCAGGAGAACCUAGGCACGAAGAGAUUAAGGAAACUGCCUUAAGGACACAGAGCAAAUGAGUAGUAGAACUCUGACUAAACUUCAAAUCUCAGCUCAAGUUUUUAGAGCCCUUUCUACUUUCAAAGGCAACAAGUUCUCAACAGUCUUUUUUCCUGUUGUGAUCUUCUACUGGUUCCUGCAUUUAAAACCUAUCUUUGCCUUCUCCUUUACAGCUCAGGUUUGAUGAGGAAAUGGAUUGAGUUAAAAAAAUUUGUUUAUGGAGAGUUCUGCACACACCAAGAGGCAUACGUGUGAGAGAUCUACAGAACUGAGGUAUGAAAAAGAAGUCAAUAUGUAAAUUAGAGGAAAGAAUAUUCUUAAGUAUUCAUUCAAUAUAAUUUUUAUAUGUUUAAGAAGACAUGUCAGAAUAAAAGUUACAAACCUUCUAAAGUUUAAAUCAUUAAAACCACAAGCUAUAUUAAUUUUCCUUAAGAAUAUGGGCAUCUCAAAAAAAAAAAGAAUAUGGACAUCUGUUGCACAUGAUUGAAGUAUUAUUUUCAAGAUAAUUUUAUCACUUUGCUAUAACAUCCAUCAUAUUUCAGAUAUAUUCAGAUAUACAUUCUGUUCACAUUAGCACCCUAUAUCUAGCAAAAAAUUCUAUGGCUAGAGAGAAUACCUUUAGUACAAACACUUUCAAUCUGAAUUCUCAUUUAACCAAGUUAGAAUUUCUUUCCUUCUUUAUUAGCCAAAGUUACAUUCUAAUGCUUCUCAUUAUCUCUCCUUUUGUUUUAUUCCUCCCCUUUUAUUUUUAAUAGUGUGUGGGUAUGGGAUGGAGAGAAGAACCCAAUUCAUAAAUGGCAUAAAUCACUGAUUACAUCCCAAAACAAAAUGACUGGCACGCAAGUAAAUCAAAGAAUGGUAUGUCAAGGAAAAAAUUUAGAACCCAAACAUGAAAAAAGUACUCUAAGAGUCUCUCAAUCAAGCUAUUAACUUGUGGCAUGUGGUACUGAUUCCCCCAAGUAUUUUAAAGACUCUCUUAUUUACUCACGGUGGAAUUCUAUAUAAAUUGCCUCUAAAUCCUUUUUCUUUUUUUUAAAGAGGAGAAAGGGGUGUACUCUGGUCUAAGAAAUGAGAAAGCUCCUAGAAAAGAUUUAAGACUCUUAUAGGGAUAAAGUAUUAGAAGAUUUUGGUCAGGGCUUGCUAUUCCUGACUUUUGAAAGAGCACAUGCACACUUGCAGGAUCACCAUUAAUAUUAUGAGAGAUCAUUCCCUUUUUGUGAGACAGGGAGAUAUUUCCAGCUAAUUACCACCAGAGAUUCAAGUCUGCUGCUACCCAAACCACAGCUUCCUCUUAUUUAACUCCCUAGGAUCAAACUGUAUCCAUUCAUCUGGUUGGACUAUUUUAGGCAAAAUUCUCCCUCCAUUACAAUCUACCAGUGUUUUUCCCAAAUCUUUUACCCCAAAAUAUUUUAUUUUUUUAAAAAUUUUCCCACUGUACAGCAAGGGGAUCAAGUUAUCCUUACAUGUAUACAUUACAAUUACAUUUUUUCCCCCACCCUUUGUUCUGUUGCAACAUGAGUAUCUAGACAAAGUUCUCAAUGCUAUUCAGCAGGAUCUCCUGUAAAUCUAUUCUAAGUUGUGUCUGAUAAGCCCAAGCUCCCGAUCCCUCCCACUUCCUCCCCAAAAUAUUUUCUUUAUGGGGAAGAUUACCUUGUCUGGAAGGGCUCUGUUUGGUGUUUUCUAUAUAAAGGGAAAAGCUGGAGAAGCCAUGUUGAUAGCAAUGCCAUGGCUCUAUUUAUUUAUUAUUUUUUUUCAAAAAGAUUUAUUAUUUGCUGUGCAUAGCUCUAUUUAAGGAGCAUCGCUCUUCACAUAGAGCAGUAUUUCAUUUAAUUUAUUAUAGUUCGAAAGCAAUGUCUCUAAUUUAACAAAAAUAGAUGCAGCUUUAGGUCUGGGACAAAUAAAAUAAAUUUAGGUUAUAGAGGCACUCUUCUGUUUCUUCUCUAGGUUCAGAUACCAACAGUUCCUCUUUUACAAUGUGACUAUGAGAACUCGACUAAUAUUAAACAACUGUAAGGUUUCUGUCCAAAGAUUCUAGAAAAAAACCAAAAAAAAACCAAACCCUUUCUUUUUCUCAAUUCCCCCCCUCACUACAUACUCUUGCAAUCUCACUAGUCCAUUUCUUCACACAGACUUCGUGUCACACCUGUAACAUUUCUGUAGAAAGAGUCUUUCCUGCUUUGGUUCUGAAAAUAAAGGGCCAAAUUAAGGGAUUUUAUUUGUCCAACUAAAGCCAAGAAGUAAAUAAAGAUGGAAAGUUUUAGGCAUUAAAUGCCAGAGUAAUCUCCCUCUCUACUCUCUGGCACAAUCUCUUAAAACUAUAGGUGCGCAUACAGUCAGUCUUCAGAAAUAAUAAAACCAGGAGUUCCCUGCUGGCCUAGCAGGUUUGAUCCCUGCCCUGGGAACUUUCACAUGCCAAUGGGCAUGGCAAAAAAAAAAAAAAAAAAAAAAGAAAGAAAG